AACGUAGGAGACAAACGUUAUCCGGAGUUACUGGGCGUAAAGGGCGUGUAGGUGGUUUCGUAAGUCUGGCGUGAAAUUUUUCGGCUUAACCGGGAAAGGUCGUCGGAUACUGCGGAGCUAGAGGACGGUGGAGGCGUGUGGAAUUCCGGGUGUAGUGGUGAAAUGCGUAGAGAUCCGGAGGAACACCAGUGGCGAAGGCGACACGCUGGGCCGUACCUGACACUGAUGCGCGACAGCAUGGGGAGCAAACAGG
rnacentral:rRNA from 1 species